AGUUUUUAAGCUAAAAAGCAUAUAUUUUGAAAAUAUAACCAAGAAAUUAAUUUAUUUCUAUAAACUU
rnacentral:tRNA from 1 species